GACAGAGGAGCCAAGCGUUGUCCGGACUGACUGGGCGUAAAGCGCACGCAGGCGGCGCUGCGCGUGGGGUGUGAAAGCUCUUGGCUUAACUGAGAGAGGCCAUCCCAUACGGCAGUGCUCGAGCGGUGCAGAGGUCCGCGGAAUUGCCGGUGUAGUGGUGAAAUGCGCAGAUAUCAGGAAGAACGCCCGUGGCGAAGGCGGCGCUCUGGGACGGUACUGACGCUGAGACGCGAAAGCGUGGGGAGCGAACAGG
rnacentral:rRNA from 1 species